UGUUCCAAUAAUAAGUUAUUUACCAAAAAUACAGGAAAAAAAAGCAAAAUAUAAACAAUCAGUAGCUGGAUUUGGCUCACAAGUCAGUUUGCUGACCUCUGACCUCUAGACUUGUUUACCUGCACCGAAGUAUAUUGGUCUGGCCUAGAUAACAGUGUGGACAGAAGCAUGUACUUGACUGAUAGGUGAAUAUAGCAGACAUAGGUAACAGUGGCAGUGUUGGUUUUGUUUCACUGCCUCCUUAGGAUCUAUUUUCCUUACUGCCCUUUGGGAACCAUGAUUACACCAUUCUCAGCCCUCAUGCUUUUGCUUGGAUUGGACUCUUGGCCUCAUGGGUAGAGAAUAUGAUCCAAAUCUAACCAAGGAACACAACUAUCCCCCUCACCACAGUGACUAUUACAGAGAUGGGGAAGUGGUCCCAACUUGUCCAAUCAGAGUGAGGGAUGUGAUGUGUUCAACCAGGAGGAAUUCUCCAAAGCAGACCCAGAGACAAAGGUUUGAGUGUAAGUUAUUUGGGUUUUUUUUGUCGUUGUUGUUGAGAAGUACUCCUAGGAAAUGCAGGUUGAUGUCAGCAAGGCACCACUGAAGGGACUGGUGCUUCAUUCUGCUGGGGACCCUGAGAGCCAGUGUAGAACAGGAGCCUCAGAGAUAACCCACUGCAGGUGCACAUACAAACCCCAGGAGUCACUGGUUGAGGGCUACUCCUCAGGGGUUCAUCCCUACAUCUUCUGACCUGCCCUGAGCACUAACAGAGUGGAUAUUUCAGCCACAAAGGGAUGAAUGCAAGCAAAGAGAUACAGAUGCUGGAAUGUGGAAGUCAGGGCUUAUUGCACUGAUGUAAGAUCCAUAGGGAACUGGGUGGAGUAUCUACAUUUUUCCUACCAUAGAAUUUCAUUAGUCUCCGUCUUAGGUUUCUGAAGAAACCAGGGCCUUAUUUGACUCAGUUUGCCCCUCUGAAUCACACUGUACCUGAAGUCAUUUCAUGGACAUUUUAGCAACAUAAGCCAACAAAUUUCCUAACUGCUUAAAUCAACAUGAGCCAAGCUUCUUAUUGUAUAAAUCAAGGACUAAAGAAAACACAUGGGAAGUUGUCAUUUAUUUUCUACUGCUAUUGAUUCAUCACAUAGUCUGAUAAAUAUUUGGGGGUAUAUAAUAUUCCUUAGAGUAUAUAUAGAUAUAGAUAUACAAAUAUAGAUCACAUGUAUCAUCAGUAUUACAUAUAGAUACAGCCUAUAUAGCAUCUCUAUCUGCUUUUAUAUCUAUAUGGAGGGGGUCAGCGCUGCAUCCAGGAAAGAGAUACAUAAAUAUGUUGGUUUUUAAUGGUACACAAAGAGUUAAAUAAUAAUUAAUGAGGGAGCUCAGAGAAAAGUCACACAUCUCCGCAAUCCUUCCAUCUAUACACAACCGAAAGCCCAUCAAUGCCUGCUUCCAUGAAAAGAAGGAACUGUGCAAAGUUGCCCCACAGACUCUCAGAAACUGUUUAAUAAAAGAGAUAAAUAUCUAUUCCUCAUGAGCACUUAUUUUUGUCCACAACCUCUGUGCUUGGGGUUUAUCUUUCUCAUUUUUCCAUUCCUAUUUGCCGAAUGGAAUUAAAGGAUUAGAGUUGAGAUGGUCUGGACAAAUAGAAGAGGAUCAGAAGAUAAUAAGACCAGGAAAACCAAAUGUAGUCAUUUCAGGGAAAGUCAGAGAGUCAAGGGAAUAAGCAAAAGAUGACACACAAUUAUGAGAGUGGUAACGGGGUCAAAAAAAAAAGACAAAAGAAAAAUUUUUAUAAUGCCUUGAGCACACACUUCCCCUUUUGUGUGUUCUCUCAGGAAAUUGAGUACAUUUCUUUUAUAUUUUUAUUUGAACUGCCAUUUCAUUCAAUGUGAUUCUGUGCUUAUCCAUGCUUACUUAGGCUAAGUGUAUGAAACCCUUUAUAACCUGUGACCCGUGUGGUUUAAUCUAUGGUGUCUUAUUCAGCAGUCACAGUUCAUCAGUGUAGAAAUAGAUUAAGAUGGAUUCCAUUCAUGCAGCCACAUUUCUCUUGAACAUCUUCUAUGAAGGCCACUGCUCAUGGCACUAGUGAUUCAACUGUAAACAAACUAAAUAAAAAUCAUAUCCUCAGGGAGUUUUCAUUGACUGUGGAAAGACAGGUGAUAGUCAAAAUAAAUAAAAUGUGUAAUAAAUUAGAUGAUGGUAAGUGAUAUGUAGAAAAAUACAGCAAGAAAAAUGACUCAGGAGUUCUGGGAGGGGAGGGCCUCUUUGAGAUGAUGAUUUUUCAGCAAAAGCCCAAAGGAGGUGAGGGGUGAGUCUAGUCGUGUAGAUACCUGGCAAGUGCAAAGGCCAUGAGGUGGGAGAGUGCUGGACCUUUCUUGGAACUGCAAGGAGGCUAAUACACAACUAGAGCAGGGAUCAGCAAACUUUUUUAUAAAGAACCAGAUGGUAAAAGAUUUUCAGCUUUGAGGGCAAUAUAGUCCCCAUAAUAAUCCCUCAACCCAAGCACUGUGGUAUGAAAGCUGCCAAAGACAACAGACCUUAGUCUAAAGUUAUAGGUAGGUGGUAAUGAGGUUUGAAUGUGCAGGGCCAUAUACAUCAUGGUAAUAACUUUGGAUUUUACUUUGUAUGUUAGUUUCUCCAGAGAAAUUUACCAACAGAACCAAUAGGAUCUGUGUGUGUGUGUGUGUGUGUGUGUGUGUGUGUGUGUGUGUGAAUAUAACAAGUACCCAUAUCUACAGUUGACAAGUCAAAGAUCCAGGAGAGCUGAUGGUAUCACCCCAAACCAAAUCCAAAGGCCUGAAACUCAGGAAAGCAAGGGAUAUAUUUCCAGUCUGAAGACCAGCAGCCUUGAACUGAAGAAAGACUCAAUGUUUCAAUGUUAGUCUAAAGGCAGGAGAAAGCCUGAUAUCUCACCCAGUUUGAAGGCUGUCAUACAGGAGGAAUUCCCUCCAUUCAGGGGAGAUCAGCCCUUCCAUUCUACUCUGGCCAUCAACUGAUUGGAUAAGGCCCACCCACAUUUAGGACAAUGAUCUGCUUUACUCAGUCUACCAAUGUAAAUGUGAAACCCACCCAAAAAUACCAUCACCAAACAGCCAGAAUUAUGUUUGACCAAAUAUCUAAGCACCAUGUGAAUCAGUCAAAUUGACACAUCAAAUAAACCACAUUUUACAUGGGAUAAAGAGCUAUUAAAGGGUUUUGAACAGUGAAAUGACAAAAUUUGCUUUAUGUGUUAACCACAUCAUUCUAACUGGUAAGCCAACAUAGACAUAAGGAGACCAGCUAUGAAGCUAUUUCUGUUUUCCAGGAAAUAGGUAAUGGUGGUGUGGACAAAGUUGGUAACUGUGGAGGUGGUGAUAAAUUACCAGAUUCUUAUUACUCUGAGCAAUAAUUAAGUUGGUUUUUGAUAGUAGCACUGAGUAAAUUUCCUGAUUACCUGUGACUGUGGAAGAAUGAUUACAGUAGGAUGGACUCUAAGACUUUGUCCUAAGUUGCCCCCAACUGAGAAAAGAAACUGGUUCAGGGGAAAGAAUAGGGGCUGUUUUGGACAGAUGAUAUUAAAAGGUUUAUUAGACACCCAAGUGGCAAAGUAGAGGCAAAGGUCCAAAAGUUUGGAAAAAAGGGACCCCUCUUGCACUGUUGGUGUGAAUGUAAGCUGAUACAGCCACUAUGGAGAACAGUAUGAAGGUACCUUAGAAAUCUAUACAGAGAACUACCAUAUGACCCAGCAAUCCCACUCUUAGGCAUAUAUCUGGACAAAACUCUCCUUAAAAAAGACACAUGCACCCGCAUGUUCAUUGCAGCACUAUUCACAAUAGCCAAGACAUGGAAUCAACCCAAAUGUCCACUGAUAGAUGAUUGGAUUAGGAAGAUGUGGUAUAUAUACACAAUGGAAUACUACUUGGCCAUAAAAAAGAACAAAAUAAUGCCAUUUGUAGCAACAUCAGUGAAACUAGGGACUCUCAUCCUGAAUGAAGUAAGUCAGAAAGAGAAAGAUAAAUACCAUAAGAUAUCACUUAUAUCUGGAAUCUAAUAUAUGGCACAAAGGAACCUUUCCACAGAAAAGAAAAUCAUGGACUUGGAGGAUAGACUUGUGGUUGCCAAGGGUGAAGGUGGGGGGACUGGGAGGGACUGGAAGCUUGGGGUAAAUAGAUGCAGAAUGUUGCCUUCAGGAGGGAUUAGCAAUGGGAUCUUGCUGUGUAGCACUGGGAACUCUGUCUAGUCAAUUAUGAUGGAACAUGUCAUGUGAGAACAAAGAAUGUAUACAUGUAUGUGUAAAUGGGUCACCUUGCUGUGCAGUAGAAAAAAUAUAUAUACAAUGAAAU
rnacentral:lncRNA from 1 species